GAGUUUGAUCAUGGCUCAGGAUGAACGCUAGCGACAGGCUUAACACAUGCAAGUCGAGGGGCAGCGGGGGAGUAGCAAUACUCCCGCCGGCGACCGGCGCACGGGUGAGUAACACGUAUGAAACCUGCCCGUAGCAGGGGGAUAAGCGGAAGAAAUUCCGUCUAAUACCGCGUAACAACCCAUGGAGGCAUCUCCGUGGGUUUAAAGGAAGCGAUUCCGGCUACGGAUGGUCAUGCGUCGCAUUAGCUUGUUGGCGGGGUAACGGCCCACCAAGGCGACGAUGCGUAGGGGUUCUGAGAGGAAGGUCCCCCACACUGGUACUGAGACACGGACCAGACUCCUACGGGAGGCAGCAGUGAGGAAUAUUGGUCAAUGGCCGCAGGGCUGAACCAGCCAAGUCGCGUGAGGGAUGACGGUCCUAUGGAUUGUAAACCUCUUUUGUCAGGGAGCAAAGGGCGCCACGUGUGGCGUUUUGCGAGUACCUGAAGAAAAAGCAUCGGCUAACUCCGUGCCAGCAGCCGCGGUAAUACGGAGGAUGCGAGCGUUAUCCGGAUUUAUUGGGUUUAAAGGGUGCGCAGGCGGAAUGUCAAGUCAGCGGUAAAAUUUCGGGGCUCAACCCCGUCGUGCCGUUGAAACUGGCGUUCUUGAGUGAGCGAGAAGUAUGCGGAAUGCGUGGUGUAGCGGUGAAAUGCAUAGAUAUCACGCAGAACUCCGAUUGCGAAGGCAGCAUACCGGCGCUCAACUGACGCUCAUGCACGAAAGCGUGGGUAUCGAACAGGAUUAGAUACCCUGGUAGUCCACGCAGUAAACGAUGAAUACUAACUGUCCGGGCAGAAUGAUGCCUGGGUGGUACAGCGAAAGCGUUAAGUAUUCCACCUGGGGAGUACGCCGGCAACGGUGAAACUCAAAGGAAUUGACGG
rnacentral:rRNA from 1 species